GUCGAGAAUCUUUCACAAUGGGGGCAACCCUGAUGGAGCGACGCCGCGUGGAGGAUAAGGUCUUCGGAUUGUAAACUCCUGUCAUGCGUGAACAAGGUUGCUUGGAUAAUACCUGAGCAAAUUGAUGGUAGCGCAAGAGGAAGAGACGGCUAACUCUGUGCCAGCAGCCGCGGUAAUACAGAGGUCUCAAGCGUUGUUCGGAAUCACUGGGCGUACAGGGUGCGUAGGUGGCGUGGCAAGUCAGAUGUGAAAGCCCGGGGCUCAACCUCGGAACUGCAUCCGAUACUGCCAUGCUAGAGUACUGGAGGGGUGACUAGAAUUCUCGGUGUAGCAGUGAAAUGCGUAGAUAUCGAGAGGAAUACCAAAGGCGUAGGCAGGUCACUGGACAGUUACUGACACUGAGGCACGAAGGCCAGGGGAGCGAACGGGAUUAGAAACCCCGGUAGUCC
rnacentral:rRNA from 1 species